rnacentral:rRNA from 1 species
UACAGAGGGUGCGAGCGUUACUCGGAAUUACUGGGCGUAAAGCGCGCGUAGGCGGCUUUGCAAGUCGGGUGUGAAAUCCCCAGGCUUAACCUGGGAACUGCAUUCGAGACUGCAUUGCUAGAGUAUGGGAGAGGGAAGUGGAAUUUCCGGUGUAGCGGUGAAAUGCGUAGGUAUCGGAAGGAACAUCAGUGGCGAAAGCGACUUCCUGGACCAAUACUGACGCUCAUGUGCGAAAGCGUGGGGAGCAAACAGG